rnacentral:rRNA from 1 species
UACGGGGGGGCAAGCGUUGUUCGGAAUUAUUGGGCGUAAAGAGCUCGUAGGCGGUUUGUCGCGUCUGCUGUGAAAACUCGGGGCUUAACUCCGGGCCUGCAGUGGGUACGGGCAGACUAGAGUGCGGUAGGGGAGACUGGAAUUCCUGGUGUAGCGGUGAAAUGCGUAGAGAUCAGGAAGAACACCCGUGGCGAAGGCGGCUCUCUGGGACGGUACUGACGCUGAGACGCGAAAGCGUGGGGAGCGAACAGG